rnacentral:pre_miRNA from 2 species
AUAUGCCUGGCUCCCUGUAUGCCAUUUGCAGAUCUCCUCGACAUAUCGAUGGCUUCCGUGGAUGGCGUAUGAGGAGCCAAGCAUAU